rnacentral:rRNA from 1 species
UUGAUCCGGAGAUUUCCGAAUGGGACAACCUAGCCGUCUGAAGGACGGUUACUCAAUCUUCAAGAUUGAGAGCUAACGCAGGGAACUGAAACAUCUUAGUACCUGCAGGAAGAGAAAAUAAAUGAAUGAUUCCCCCAGUAGUGGCGAGCGAACGGGGAACAGCCCAAACCGUUGACGUCGCAAGGCGCCAGCGGGGUUGUAGGACCGCGACAUUGUAUGCAAAUCGUGAACAGAACACUUUGGAAAAUGUGACCAUAGACGGUGAUAGUCCAGUAUGUGAAGCGAAAUGCAGCAUAGCGGUAUCCUGAGUAGCGCGGGACACGAGGAAUCCUGCGCGAAUCUGCCGGGAGCAUCCGGUAAGGCUAAAUACUCCCGUGAGACCGAUAGCGAACGAGUACUGUGAAGGAAAGGUGAAAAGAACCCCGAGCAGGGGAGUGAAAUAGUUCCUGAAACCAUGCGCCUACAAGCGGUCGGAGCAUCUUACGAUGUGACGGCGUGCCUUUUGCAUAAUGAUCCUACGAGUUACCGUCACUGGCGAGGUUGAGUGUCAUGAGACACGUAGCCGCAGUGAAAGCGAGCCUGAACAGGGCGCAUAGUCAGUGGGGGUAGACGCGAAACCAAGUGAUCUACACUUGGCCAGGAUGAAGUCCCGGUAACACGGGAUGGAGGUCCGCACCAAUAAGCGUUGAAAAGCUUCUGGAUGAGCCGAGUGUAGGAGUGAAAGGCCAAUCAAACUUGGAGAUAGCUCGUACUCCCCGAAAGGCAUUUAGGUGCCGCGUCGGAUGGUCACCGUGAGAGGUAGAGCGACCGAUAGGACAAGAGGGCUUCACCGCCUAUCGAGUCCUGACGAACUCCGAAUGCUCACGGUCUGCAGUCCGGCAGUAAGGGGGCGGGUGCUAAGGUCCGUCCCCGAGAGGAGAAGAAUCCAGACCGCCGUCUAAGGUCCCGGAGUUCUGCCUGAGUUAGUCUAACGAAGUCUGGUCCCUAUGACAGCUAGGAUGUUGGCUUGGAAGCAGCCAUUCAUUCAAAGAGUGCGUAACAGCUCACUAGUCGAGGGUCCGGGCAUGGAUAAUAAUCGGGUAUAAGGCAGACACCGAAGGCGCGGGAUAGCAUUUAAGAAAGUAUCGGUAGGGGAGCAUACUCACAGCGUUGAAUGGUGUACGUAAGUUAUCCUGGAGCGGUGAGUAAAGCAAAUGUAGGAAUAAGUAACGAUAAGGAGGGUUAGAUUCCCUCCCGCUGUAAGACCAAGGUUUCCCGGGCUAUGCCAAUCAGCCCGGGGUCAGUCGGGUCCUAAGUCUCAGCCGAACGGCGAUGGCGAUGGCAGAGACGGUUAAUAUUCCGUCACUGCCGCAUGGGGCGACGUGGAGACGGAGCAGUGAAACCACCGCGGGGCGACGGAAGUCCCCGUUGAAGAGUGUAGGUGUUGAGGAUGGCAGGCAAAUCCACCAUCCGAGCUGAACUUGAUAGUAUGGAGUCUUCUUCGGAAGAAUCCAAUAGUGUGGGUAAUCAUACUCCCGAGAAAAUCCGCUAAGCUUAACCCAUGCGGCACCCGUACCGCAAACGGACACACGUGGUCGGGUAGAACAUACUAAGGCGUUGAGAGAUUCAUGGUUAAGGAACUAGGCAAAUUGACCCUGUAACUUCGGGAUAAAGGGUCCUCGUGAUGAGCGAGGCGCAGAGAAUAGGUCCAGGCAACUGUUUAACAAAAACACAGGGCUGUGCAAACUCGAAAGAUGACGUAUACAGCCUGACACCUGCCCGGUGCCGGAAGGUUAAGAGGAGAUGUCACACUUAUGUGGAAGCAUUGAAUUGAAGCCCCGGUAAACGGCGGCCGUAACUAUAACGGUCCUAAGGUAGCGAAAUUCCUUGUCGGGUAAGUUC